GACUCCGCUCCAGGAACACCAAGUGAAGGACAGCAGCCUUCAGCCUUGACCCCAGACCUUAGCCCGCCAGAACCUGGGCUCCCUAAAGCAAAAGCGGGCCCCCCAUUGUGUACCAGAGUGUGGGGUGGGGAAUGCCCACACCCCAAGGGCCCCCAGGUUAAAGGCAAGAGACUGGGGCUGUUGGGGAAGUUGCCCAGGCUGAGGGGCCGGGGCUGGCAGAGACAUGGGGCUGCUGCUGCUGCUGCCGCUGCUCCCAGGCUGGGGCUGCGCUGCAGGCUCCGAGCUGACCUUCGUGCAGGAGCCGGGGAACAUGGUUGCUGUUUGGGAGCACCCACUGGUGCUGCCCUGCCAAGUGGAGGGUGAGCCACCGUGUCCAUUUCCUGGCAGUGGGAUGGGCUGGCCUUAGCCAAUGACAGUGGUGCCACCCUGAUGCCAGAUGGCUCCCUACACCUGGCCACCCUGCCCUCCCGCUGGAGCCUCCCUUCCAGUGCCCACGAGUACCACUGCAUGGCCCACAACUGCUAUGGGCGGCUGGUGAACCGACGGGCCCAGGUACAGCUGGCAAGCCUGUCCCGCUUCCACCAACAUCCAGAGGCCGUCGAGGGGAGCAGGGUGGAGUUGCUUGCUUCCAGUGUCUGAUCCAGGGGGUGCCCGAACCCUCC